rnacentral:rRNA from 1 species
AGAGUUUGAUCCUGGCUCAGAACGAACGUUGGCGGCAUGGAUUAGGCAUGCAAGUCGAACGAAUGUCGGGUAGCAAUACUCGGCGGAAGUGGCGAAAGGGGCAGUAAUGUAUGGGCAACCUACCCUGGGGUUGGGCAUAGCCGUUCUAACGAGCGGGUAAUUCCCAGCGAUUUGACGAGGAGGCAUCUCUUUGUCAAGAAAGAAUUUCGCCUCGGGAGGGGCUCAUAUCGUAUUAGCUAGUUGGCGGGGUAACGGCCCACCAAGGCGAAGAUGCGUAGCGGGUGUGAGAGCACGACCCGCGCCACUGGCACUGAGACACUGGCCAGACACCUACGGGUGGCUGCAGUCGAGGAUCUUCGGCAAUGAGCGCAAGCUUGACUGAGCGAUGCCGCGUGUGCGAUGAAGGCCUUCGGGUUGUAAAGCACUGUCGAGGGGGAUCAAGGGGCAACCUUGAGUGAUCCCUGGAGGAAGGGCGGGCUAAGUUCGUGCCAGCAGCCGCGGUAAGACGAACUGCCCAAACGUUGUUCGGAAUCACUGGGCUUAAAGGGCGCGUAGGCGGCAGAUCAAGUCAGGGGUGAAAUCCGGCAGCUCAACUGUCGAAGUGCCUUUGAUACUGAUUUGCUCGAGGGAUAUAGGGGUCUGUGGAACUUCUGGUGUAGCGGUGAAAUGCGUAGA